rnacentral:tRNA from 1 species
GGGCCCGUAGCUCAGUCUGGUUAGAGCGCACGACUGAUAAUUCAGUCCGACAUCGUGAGGUCAUGAGUUCAAAUCUCACCGGGCCCA